rnacentral:rRNA from 1 species
GACGAACGCUGGCGGCGUGCUUAACACAUGCAAGUCGAACGGAAAGGCCCUGCUUUUGUGGGGUGCUCGAGUGGCGAACGGGUGAGUAACACGUGAGUAACCUGCCCUUGACUUUGGGAUAACUUCAGGAAACUGGGGAUAAUACCGGAUAGGAGCUCCUGCUGCAUGGUGGGGGUUGGAAAGUUUCGGCGGUUGGGGAUGGACUCGCGGCUUAUCAGCUUGUUGGUGGGGUAGUGGCUUACCAAGGCUUUGACGGGUAGCCGGCCUGAGAGGGUGACCGGCCACAUUGGGACUGAGAUACGGCGCAGACUCCUACGUGAGGCAGCAGUGGGGAAUAUUGCACAAUGGGCGGAAGCCUGAUGCAGCAACGUCGCGUGCGUGAUGACGGCCUUCGGGGUGUAAACCGCUUUCGCCUGUGACGAAGCGUGAGUGACGGUAAUGGGUAAAGAAGCACCGGCUAACUACGUG